UACGUAGGGUCCGAGCGUUGUCCGGCAUUAUUGGGCGUAAAGGGCUCGUAGGCGGUCCGUCACGUCGGGAGUGAAAACUCAGGGCUCAACCCUGAGCGUGCUUCCGAUACGGGCGGACUAGAGGUAUGCAGGGGAGAACGGAAUUCCUGGUGUAGCGGUGGAAUGCGCAGAUAUCAGGAGGAACACCGGUGGCGAAGGCGGUUCUCUGGGCAUUACCUGACGCUGAGGAGCGAAAGCAUGGGGAGCGAACAGG
rnacentral:rRNA from 1 species